rnacentral:rRNA from 1 species
UACAGAGGGUGCGAGCGUUAAUCGGAAUUACUGGGCGUAAAGCGUGCGUAGACGGUUAUUUAAGUCAGGUGUGAAAGCCCCGGGCUCAACCUGGGAAUUGCAUUUGAGACUGAAUAGCUAGGGUGCGGAAGAGGGAAGCGGAAUUUCCGGUGUAGCGGUGAAAUGCGUAGAUAUCGGAAGGAACACCAGUGGCGAAGGCGGUUCUCUGGGACGGUACUGACGCUGAGGUGCGAAAGCGUGGGGAGCAACAGG